rnacentral:tRNA from 1 species
UUAUUUAGUUUAAAAAACACCAGUUUGUGGUACUGAAGAUGCUUUAUUCAC